rnacentral:misc_RNA from 1 species
UACGGAGGUUCCAUGCGUUAUCCGGACUCAUUGGGCUUAAAGGGUCCGUAGGCGGGGCAAUAAGUCAGCGGUGAAAGUCUGCAGCUCAACUGUAGAACUGCCAUUGAUACUGUUGUCCUUGAGUUACUGUGAAGUGGUUGGAAUAUGUAGUGUAGCGGUGAAAUGCAUAGAUAUUACAUAGAACACCGAUUGCGAAGGCAGAUCACUAACAGUACACUGACGCUGAUGGACGAAAGCGUAGGUAGCGAACAGG